rnacentral:rRNA from 1 species
GCCAGCCCGCUCAGAAACUCAAAGGAAUUGACGGGGCCGCACAAGCGGUGGAGUAUGUGGUUUAAUUCGAUGCAACGCGAAGAACCUUACCUGGUCUUGACAUCCCGGAGACCCUUAGGAAACUAGGGGGUGCUUCCAUCUGGAAGAAUCUGGAGACAGGUGCUGCAUGGCUGUCGUCAGCUCGUGUCGUGAGAUGUUGGGUUAAGUCCCGCAACGAGCGCAACCCUUGCCUUUAGUUGCCAGCAGUUCGGCUGGGCACUCUAAAGGGACUGCCGGUGUUAAACCGGAGGAAGGUGGGGAUGACGUCAAGUCCUCAUGGCCUUUAUGACCAGGGCUACACACGUACUACAAUGGCCGAUACAAAGGGCAGCGACACUGCGAGGUGAAGCCAAUCCCGUAAAAUCGGUCUCAGUCCGGAUUGGAGUCUGCAACUCGACUCCAUGAAGUUGGAAUCGCUAGUAAUCGUGGAUCAGCAUGCCACGGUGAAUACGUUCCCGGGCCUU